rnacentral:rRNA from 1 species
UACGUAGGGUGCGAGCGUUGUCCGGAAUUAUUGGGCGUAAAGGGCUCGUAGGCGGUUUGUCGCGUCGGGAGUGAAAACUCAGGGCUUAACCCUGAGCCUGCUUCCGAUACGGGCAGACUAGAGGUAUGCAGGGGAGAACGGAAUUCCUGGUGUAGCGGUGAAAUGCGCAGAUAUCAGGAGGAACACCGGUGCGAAGGCGGUUCUCUGGGCAUUACCUGACGCUGAGGAGCGAAAAGUGUGGGGGGAGCGAACAGG